rnacentral:rRNA from 1 species
UACGGAGGAUCCGAGCGUUAUCCGGAUUUAUUGGGUUUAAAGGGAGCGUAGGUGGAUUGUUAAGUCAGUUGUGAAAGUUUGCGGCUCAACCGUAAAAUUGCAGUUGAAACUGGCAGUCUUGAGUACAGUAGAGGUGGGCGGAAUUCGUGGUGUAGCGGUGAAAUGCUUAGAUAUCACGAAGAACUCCGAUUGCGAAGGCAGCUCACUGGACUGCAACUGACACUGAGGCUCGAAAGUGCGGGUAUCAAACAGG